GGAUCAUUACCGAGUUUUCGGGCUUUCGCUCGACUCUCCCACCCUUUGUGAACGUACCUCUGUUGCUUUGGCGGCUCCGGCCGCCAAAGGACCUCCAAACUCCAGUCAGUAAACGCAGACGUCUGAUAAACAAGUUAAUAAACUAAAACUUUCAACACCGGAUCUCUUGGUUCUGGCAUCGAUGAAGAACGCAGCGAAAUGCGAUAAGUAAUGUGAAUUGCAGAAUUCAGUGAAUCAUCGAAUCUUUGAACGCACAUUGCGCCCCUUGGUAUUCCGGGGGGCAUCCCUGUUCGAGCGUCAUUACAACCCUCAAGCUCUGCUUGGAAUUGGGCACCGUCCUCACUGCGCACGUGCCUCAAAGACCUCGGCGGUGGCUGUUCAGCCCUCAGGCGUAGUAGAAUACACCUCGCUUUGGAGUGGUUGGCGUCCCCCGCCGGACGAACCUUCUGAACUUUUCUCAGGGUUGACCUCGGAUCAGGUAGGGAUACCCGCUGAACUUAAGCAUAUCAAUA
rnacentral:rRNA from 1 species